rnacentral:rRNA from 1 species
AAUACACUGGUGGCGACCGGCGCACGGGUGAGUAACACGUGUGCAACCAACCCCGUACCGGGGAGUAACCCGCGGAAACGUGGACUAACAUCCCGUGAUACUCGAGAGCCGCAUGGCUCUCGAUUUAAAAUUCCGGUGGUACGGGACGGGCACGCGCGACAUUAGGUAGUUGGCGGGGUAACGGCCCACCAAGCCGACGAUGUCUAGGGGUUCUGAGAGGAAGGUCCCCCACACUGGAACUGAGACACGGUCCAG